rnacentral:lncRNA from 1 species
AUGGUACCCGUUCCGGGGGGGGGGGCAGACGAAAUCAAUCAACGCAAAAGUCGUUGGAUACUUGGAUUGAACAUGCUGCAGCUUCCAGAAAAACAAAGAAGAGAACAUGCUGUAGCUGAGGCGUUCAGGCUUGGGGAGGUGCUUCGUGGCGAGGAUGGCAUCGUCAAGCUGGACGCCUGGCCUUGCUUGGCGCUGAAGUGUGGCUGGGUUGGCGAGGUGGCGCUGAAGGACUUGGGGCGUGGAUGCGGCGGCGUGGCAGGGAGGCCGAGGCACCGAGCUCGCGUCGGCUGGCCUGUGGCGGCUGCUUGUGGGGAGACUAGGAGAGCAACUGGAUUUCACCAAAAUGUGAGUGACCUAGGGUUUGAUCUGAAUAUUUAUAUGCACAUAUGUGAUGGGCCACUCGUUGGGCUUUAUGGGCUGUGAGCAUAUGGAA